AGAUGUUUGUCUAUAGGAGUACAACAGUUCAGAGUAAUACAGGUAAUUUUAUUUGUGGGAUUGAGUGUAUAUCAUGUUGCAAUUGGUUUGAUUGCUAAUUCAGAGUGAAACAGUAUGCAACUGGUUUGAUUGAGUGCAGAUCAUGGAACAUUUGGCUCUUUUCGUGCAAAAUGAUAGGUGAUGAAUUUCUUGAGCAACUUACUUUAAUAAUUGAAUGUACAAGUUUUAAAUUAUGUUGUCGUUUCAAAUAAUUUUUAACUUGUAUUUAUAUGUUCCAUGUUUUUGGAAUACAUAAGGGCCUGAUUAUGUAGACCUACUUGGCUAUGCAUCAAUUUUCUGGAAACGGAAGACAUGUCUUCAAGAAGGACGUGCCAUGGGUUUGGAGACUGGUUCAUUGCAUUCAAGUUCAAGGUUGCUUCAACUCAGAUUGUCCAACAGACAAAAACUGCACAACACAACUUUGGUCAUUAACCAUGCUAGGCUUGAGGAGAAUACCUUCGAACAGGACAUUGUUCUCAGCCAGGUAGAAGAAUAC
rnacentral:lncRNA from 1 species